rnacentral:rRNA from 1 species
UUCCUUGGAAAAGGACAGCUGAGAGGGUGAAACUCCCGUCCGCCUGGUAGAAUGAGUCUUUGUCAACGAGUCGAGUUGUUUGGGAUUGCAGCUCUAAUUUGGUGGUAAAUUCCGUCUAAAGCUAAAUAUUGGUGGGAGACCGAUAGCGUACAAGUACCGUGAGGGAAAGAUGCAAAGAACUUUGAAAAGAGAGUUAAAGAGUACCUGAAAUUGCUGAAACGGAAGCGAAGGAAACCAGUGUUUGUUGGUUCAUAUUUCCCUGGCCACUUGUGGUUUGGGCG